CCAAGUCAGUGAUGAAACCCUUUGUUCAAAUUGGACUGUUGGAUGAAACAUGCGGAUAUGGGACUGAGCUUGGG
rnacentral:snoRNA from 1 species